rnacentral:lncRNA from 1 species
CCCCCUCUCCAACGGACCCCACCCAUAAGUGAGCCACCACCAUAUCCACUCGGAUAAGUGGAAACGUUUUCUUGAAAUACGUUUUCUCAGCUCUGAAAACGUAUUUCUUUUCUUCUCUGGACAGUAUAUAUUUUCUUUUCUGGAAAACGUGUUUCUCUCUACUGCGGGGUCAAUUGUGUUUUCCUUUUGAGAAAACGUAUUACGCCCGAAGGUGCGUUCAGUUUUUCCUCGAGGGGCCUGUUUGCUGGAAAAAAAAUCACCGAUAGGUCCCUGAUCUUCUACACCUCAUAACUCCGCAACCGUAACUCCGAUUGAGGUGAAACCAACGCUCACUUCUUCAUCUCGUCGAACUCUUUCUGUUGGUACCAUUUUCAUAAAGUGUUCACACUGUGAAAAUGACCAUAUUACCCUUGCCUCUAAUCAGCCCCCUCCGAGAGAGAACCGUCCGACGUUUCGUUCCGCGGCUUCACCGCACUUCUUCCCAGAGUCUCCGUCACCCCAGGCAAGCCACAACAACCACUUGCAUGAUAGUCAUGCAGUAGCCAUGGUUUUCAACUUGAAUAUUUAAUAAAUGUUUGCUUGUUUUGAUACAGUUAUCGUUGUUUCGGUGAUACUUAUAGAUCUGUGUUUACUUUCAUGCUAUGCGCUUCUGCAUCUUGUUAUCUUGCACUUAUUGCUAGUGUUAUUGUUAUAUGUCAUGCUUGAUAGUAGUAGCAGUGUGUUCAUUCGGAUGCAUAUUUAUGAACUAUUAUCUAGUGUUGUUGCUAUGCAUGUUACUUUGUAUCCUACUGGUUAUAUGCUUACUUGGUAGUAUUCUAGAUGAGUUCUUGCAUCUUAUUUAUUUAUGAUGCUAGUGGUCAUGAUAUGCUCAUGUGUAAUGUUAUGCCUGUCAGCUUACCAUGCACAUUUGGUUAAUGUUUCAUGAAUAUGUUGCACCUCCAUGCUUAUGUUGAUUUAUGUUCAUGCAUUGUUGAUGCAUCAUGUUAUUUUCAUAUGACUCAGCUCCUUGCAUUCAAGUUUAACCGGACUUAAUUGAACUUGAACAACUGUUGGCUGAGUCAUGGUGCCACUAUAUCGAGCUGACCAGUGCAACCACACUUACCUUUAUGGGAGGGUCCUAACUGGGUCUAUUGUCGUGCCUCUCGCCGGUAUCUCCAACGAGGGAAGGUUAUGGGCGCACGCUACCCUGAUCAGGUAGGCGGACAUAAGCCUUGUGUGCCCGUAGUUGUUGUUAGGCGCCUUUUGUCCCCGUUUGGGACCGUUUAUGUUUUUGCCACGACGGUGGCCGUUGGUGCCUUUGGUAGGCACGGGGCCACCCAGGACUGAACCCUGAGGGGGUGUUGGUCGGAGUGGCCGGGAGAGUGUCAUGGCAGUAGGACGGUUUUGUCGGAACGCCGUUGGUCCACCCGAAUGGGACUGCGAGGCCAUGGGUUCCGUGGUGUGGGUACAGUGUGCUAACCUCUGCAGAGUGUGUAUUAAAUCUAUCGAUAGCCGUGCCCGUGGAUAAGGGCCCAGUUCGUGUCGGUCACACUAUGGGUCAGCAGUAAUAAUAAUAACUUGAUUAAUAACAACCCCGGUUUGAUGAUGAGAUAAGUUGAUUCUGUGAUCCGUGAAUGAUCACCGUUUGGUUACGAGGUAACUCGUUGAGCCCAGAGUGGUUCUGUUUGUGAUCCGUGAAUGAUCACCGUGGUAUCGAGGAUACCAAGUUGAUGAAUAUUUGUGGUAUUAUGCGAGAGUAAAGGGUAAAGAUCAAGCUCCUUGUGGUCAUUUAAUGAUUACUACGGUAUUGUUUAUACCAAGCUUGAUUUGAUCCUGAGAUGAUCAUGUAAUGUCCGAGGUUGGUAAGUGAUGGAUAUGAUGGUUACGAGGUAACCCGAGCAGAAUAAGUUGGUGCAUGAUAAUGUCAUCAUGUUGCAUGAUAGUGUCAUCAUGUUUAUAUGUUCAUGCCAUGUUCAUAUUGUUCUAGCGGUAUUAUGUUCAUGCCAUGUCAUCCUGAUGAUCUCAUGAUAACUCCUGCUUAACCUGUAAUUGCCAUGCCGUUGUUUGUCUUGAAUGCUUCUGGUUAUUGUGAGCUUGCAAGUACAUUCAAUGUGCUGACCUGGCGUGUCAUGCCAGUUUGCAGGUCGUGCCUGGAUUGCUUGCUUGUUGGUGUGGUUCCUGUGUUCGCGAGCUAGGAUAAAUGUUCCAGCCAGAGUCCCUAUGGAUUGGAGUCCAUCAUCAACGUUCGUUGUUCCGCAUCCAGUAGUUGUUCCGCUGCCUCAACUUGUUAUGCUGCUUGCAUAGAGCAACUGAGGAUGGCGUAGUGUCGUCGUGCCGAUGUUAUUCAUUGUAAUAUCGGAGACCUUGUAUUCAUAUUCGUGUAAUAAUAGAAAGCUGGUUUGUUCUAUGUUAAGCUGUGCCGUAUUUCAGAGGACUUCACCUCGAUCUCUGGGCUGGAAUACGGGGCGUUCCAGUUUCUCUGAGCCGGGGUGCCACAUGCUUGGUAUCAGAGCAGGUCUGGUUGUAGAGCGUCCUAGUACACUGGAAUGUUAGAAAAGGGUAGUAUAGGGUCUGGUUGUUGCCCUUACUUGCUGCAUUUGAUUGUUGCAUUUGUUUGCCGCAUAUAG